AACGAACGCUGGCGGCAUGCCUAACACAUGCAAGUCGAACGAUGCUUUCGGGCAUAGUGGCGCACGGGUGCGUAACGCGUGGGAAUCUGCCCUUGGGUUCGGAAUAACAGUGAGAAAUUGCUGCUAAUACCGGAUGAUGUCUUCGGACCAAAGAUUUAUCGCCCAGGGAUGAGCCCGCGUAGGAUUAGCUAGUUGGUGGGGUAAUGGCCUACAAAGGCGACGAUCCUUAGCUGGUCUGAGAGGAUGAUCAGCCACACUGGGACUGAGACACGGCCCAGACUCCUACGGGAGGCAGCAGUGGGGAAUAUUGGAAAAUGGGGGCAAGCCUGAUCCAGCAAUGCCGCGUGAGUGAUGAAGGCCUUAGGGUUGUAAAGCUCUUUUACCCGGGAUGAUAAUGACAGUACCGGGAGAAUAAGCUCCGGCUAACUCCGUG
rnacentral:rRNA from 1 species